GCCAGGCGUGGUGGGGCAUGCCUGUAAUCCCAGCUACUUGGGAGGCUGAGGCAUGAGAAUUGCUUGAACCCAGGAAGUGGAGGUUGCAGUGAGCCAAGAUUGUGCCACUGCACUCCAGCCUGGGUGACAGAGUGAGACUCUGUCUCAA
ensembl:misc_RNA Metazoa_SRP Metazoan signal recognition particle RNA